AGGCAUCACCAGGGAGAUGAUGAAGAAGGGCAGCCAACACACAAUAAAUGCUCCUAAAAUGAUCCCUAGGGUCUUGGUGGCUUUGCGCUCCCUAGCGGCCAUGAGUUUCUUCUUUUCCAGCAGGGCGUCUGAGACUCGCACUUUGACUUGGUUCACGUACACAGGAGACCCGGACUCACUGGGCACGUCCGGAGCCCGGGAGUUAAUGGAGGUGACCGAGGAUGUGGAUCCCGGGGAGUCUGUUAUCAACUGGGCUCGGGUCAAGCGCUUGCCGGUCUUGUUGGGUGUCUGUUUCAAAAUCCGAGAGCGGGCUUCCACAUAGAUGCGGCCAUAGAGGGCGAUGAGGAGCAGGGUGGGUAAAUAGAAAGCGCCCACCGUGGAGUAGACCGUGUAGAGGACGUGGUCGGUGUUCACAAAGCAGUCCAGCAUCUCCUCCUCUGCUUUGGCUUGACGCCAGAAGAAGGGUGGCAACGAAAUAGAGAUGGAGAAGACCCACACCAGCACGAUCAUGAUGGCCGCCCUUUUGGGAGUCCUUUUAGCAGAAUACUCCACCGCAUCGGUGAUGGCCCAGUAGCGGUCCAGGGCGAUGACACAGAGAUGCAUGAUGGAAGCAGUGCAACAGGUGAUAUCCGACGACAGCCAGAAGUCGCAGACCACCUGGCCUAGUGUCCAGCGUCCAGUGACCGUGUACAUGGUGCUGAUGGGCAUCACCAGGAUGGACACGAGCAGCAUUUCAAAGCAAAACUCCUGCAAGUACCAUUUACAAGAAGGAUCUACGCGAGGCACAAAGCAAAUCUCAAGCAAACUGAAACUGACAGUUAAUCAAAAAAGAUGAUUAAGAAAAUAACCGUAAUCAAAGGAAAUAACUUCUCCAUCAACAAUCAGCAUACGCCACGACUGCAAGCUCCUGCUGCCUGCACCUCCUUGCCAUGAUGGACUGUACCUUGAACCCUGUGCUGAAAGAAGCCUGUUCUUUCAUAAGUUGCUUUCAUCAGAGUAUUAUGUCACAGCAACAGAAGAGAAACUAGGACAGCAUAAAUAAAAUUACAUUUCAUAAAUUUGCCAGCACCCAAAUCUAACUCAACCCUCCCAAGUAUACAGAGCCAUGUUCUAUCUUGUCCUUGUCAAAUACCCCUGUCUUUCUCUCAGGUACUUCCAAAGGCUGAUGGCUGACACCUUGGCAACAAAAAUGUAUAACUACAUUGUCUUGGUUCAUUCUUCACUCAGUAGAUUAUUGCUUUGGAUCCUAAAUGCCAAUAUUUUUUCUGUAUAUAUUAAAUGAAAAGGUCUAAGACAGUGAUGACUUCUCUUGUUAGAAAAGUUUACUUUUCUGCCAAAUGUAUACUCUAUUUUCAGUAUUAGAGUAUGCUUUUAUUAUGUCUAUUUUUUUCUCUACUACCGCUUGACUAUAACAGACUAGUUAUGUGAAUUUGUCCUAACGUAGUAAAUUUUAAGGCUAAAACUUUGGGCUGUGGUGAGUUCUCAGAUCAUUGUCAGUUUGUUUCCAAAAGGAAUAUGAGACCCCAGUUCUCUCUUAUUCUUCCUUCUGCUUCUUAAUCACGAGGUAAUGCAGUUUACCAUUUGCCCCAUCUUGGUCCUCUGGCAUCCUUAUCUCUAGUCCAAAUAUAGGUUAACAAAAUCUUAGAAUUUCCAAUCCAAAAGCAUGAGCCAAUAUGCACCUUUCAUAUUCAUUAAUCAAUCAUUUAACAUUUGGGUUGUUAUAGUAACAAGAAGCUAACUAACAAAGUCCCUUCAUGUCCUGAGAGAGGUAUCAUAUAUUUUUUUAAAAUGUUUUUUUGGUGUUAUUUUCAUUAUGUUUGCAUUUUAAGUAUGAGUGUGUAUAGAAAAUUGGCAUUUAGUUGAGUAAGAUUGCUGAGUAUUUUGAGUCAUAAAAAUUGGGUUGUCAUUUGUUUUAUAUUUUUGUGCAUAUGUAUGUUUAUUUUUACUUAUUAUUAAUGUUUUAUUGUUUAAAAACAGAUGAAUUCAUUUUUUGUACACCAUUGUUCUUCAAUGAUUUUACAGAACACAUGUAUAUACACCUACAGUUAGUUCAGGAUGAGAACCCAGUCAGGUUAUAAAUUCUAUCAUCAAUUAUUGCAUCAAUGUAGAAAAUACAAUGUCAAACAAAAGGGUUUAACAUAGGACUGCAUGGAGUAACACCAUGCUACUAAUAUUUCAGAGUCGUUAUAAAAUUAUAAGAGUUGCCUUGUAUAUUAGUUAGGGUUUUACUGCUGUGAACAGAUACUAUGACCAAGGCAAGUCUUAUAAAAAAACAACAUUUAAUUGGGGGUGGCUUACAGGUUCGGAAGAUCAGUCCAUUACCAUCAAGGUGGGAGCAUGGCAGCAUCCAGGCAGGCAUGGUAUAGGAGGAGCUGAGAGUUCUGUCUUCACCCUAAGGCUGCUAGUGGAAGACUGACUUCCAGGCACCUAAGGUGAGAGUAUUAAGCCCAUACCCACAGUGACACACCUACUCCAACCAGGUCACACCUCCGAAUAGUGCCACUCCCUGGUCCAAGAAUAGACAAACCAUCACACCUUGAUAAAAUAUAUAAGAAUAAGUUUUUAAUUGGGUAUUUAUUUCAUUUACAUUUCCAAUGCUAUCCCAAAAGUCCCACACACACUACCCCACCAACUCCCCCCCCCCCACCCACUCCCACUUCUUGGCCCUGGCAUUCCCCUGUACUGAGGCAUAUAAAGUUUGCACGACCAAUGGGCCUCUCUUUCCACUGAUAGCCGACUAGGCCAUCUUCUGAUUCAUAUGCAGCUAGAGACAUGAGCUCCUGCGAGGGGGGGAUUGGUUAGUUCGUAUUGUUGUUCCACCUACAGGAUUACAGGUCCCUUCAGCUCCUUGGGUACUUUCUCUAGCUCCUCCAUUGGGGGCCCUGUGAUCCAUCCAAUAGCUAACUGUGAGCAUCCACUUCUGUGUUUGCCAGGCCCCGGCAUAGUCUCACAAGAGACAGCCAUAUCUGGGUCCUUUCAGCAAAAUCUUGCUAGUAUAUGCAAUGGUGUCAGCGUUUGGAAGCUGAUUAUGGGAUGGAUCCCCGGAUAUGGCAGUCUCUAGAUAGUCCAUCCUUUCGUCUCAGCUCCAAACUUUGUCUCUGUAACUCCUUCCACAGGUGUUUUGUUCCCAAUUCUAAGAAGGGGCAAAGUGUCCACACUUUGGUCUUCAUUCUUCUUGAGUUUCAUGUGUUUAGCAAAUUGUAUCUUAUAUCUUGGGUAUCCUAAGUUUCUGGGCUCAUAUCCACUUAACAGUGAGUACAUAUUGUGCGAGUUCUUUUGUGAUUGGGUUACCUCACUCAGGAUGAUGUCCUCCAGGUCCAUCCAUUUGCCUAGGAAUUUCAGAAAUUCAUUCUUUUUAAUAGCUGAGUAGUACUCCAUUAUGUAAAUGUACCAUAUUUUCUGUAUCCAUUUCUCUGUUGAGGGGCAUCUGGGUUCUUUCCAGCUUCUGGCUAUUAUAAAUAAGGCUGCUAUGAA
rnacentral:lncRNA from 1 species